UACGUAGGGUGCGAGCGUUGUUCGGAAUUACUGGGCGUAAAGGGCCAGUAGGCGGCCAACUAAGUCCGACGUGAAAUCCCAAGGCUUAACCUUGGAACUGCGUCGGAUACUGGAUGGCUUGAAUUCGGGAGAGGGAUGCAGAAUUCCAGGUGUAGCGGUGAAAUGCGUAGAUAUCUGGAGGAAUACCGGGUGGCGAAGGCGGCCCCCUGGACCGGGUACUGACGCUGGAGCGCGAAAGCGUGGGUAGCAAACGGG
rnacentral:rRNA from 1 species